rnacentral:misc_RNA from 1 species
AAGUCCUAACAAGGUUUCCGUAGGUGAACCUGCGGAAGGAUCAUUACCACGUAUCCGGGCUAUGAUUAUUAGAGAUUGCGAACUACGCGGGUUACAAGAGCAGGAUGAAGGUUCACGGGGGGGGUUUUAACGUUUGGAAAGUUGUAGUGAUUCAGAGACCUCUGGCUACGUGCGAACAUUGGAACAGUUACAAUCGAGCGGUAGUUCUAUAGGCAAUGUUUCCCCAAGCAGUCAGUGUCGGAAAGUGUCAUUGAUUGUGCAAGGAUAGCGCUUCUACGAUUCCUGUAGACCGUACACUCGGGCAGGAGCUUUGCCAAAGGGUCCCCAUGCCCCCUAAUAACCCCACAGUUUAAUGUGAAGCUCAAUGUAAUACAUUGGGUAAAAAAACCGAACAACUGUUAACAAUGGAUAUCUUGGUUCUC